rnacentral:rRNA from 1 species
AUAAUAAUUAGGUUUUUAAUUGAAAUCUAGAAUGAAUGAUUGGACGAGAUACAGGCUGUUUUAUAAUAAUUAAUUAAAACUUAAUUUUUUAGUCAAAAAGCUAAAAUUUUAUUAAAAGACGAGAAGACCCUAUAAAUCUUUAUAAUAAAUUUAUUUUAAUGAAUUAUUUUAUCUAAAUUAAUAGUUUUAAUAAUAAAUUAUUUUAUUGGGGUGAUACAAAAAUUUAAUUAACUUUUUCAUUUAUAUUACUUAAAUUAAAGAUUUAUAAAAAUUUGAUCUACUAUUAGUAAUUCAGAGAAUAAGAUACUUUAGGGAUAACAGCGUAAUUUUAAUUUUAAGUUCUCAUUAAAAUUAAAGAUUGC